rnacentral:lncRNA from 10 species
AAGAAGUGUGCACACCUGUCACUUCAAAUCAAAAGGUGGUUGUCUACGAGGAUCAUUUAAGGCCAGAAGUUCGAGACCAGCCUGGGCAAUAGAACAAGACCUCAUCUCCACAAACAAUAAAAAAUUAGCCAGGUGUGGUGGCACACACCUGUAGUCCUAGCUACUUGGGAGGCUAGGGUGUGAGGAACACUUGAGCCCAGGAGUUCAUCAUUACAGUGAACUAUAAUCAUGCCACUGCACUUCAGUCUGAGAAAUAGAGUGAGAAUCAU